rnacentral:rRNA from 1 species
AUAUUGCGCAAUGGAGGGAACUCUGACGCAGCGACGCCGCGUGAGCGAUGAAGGUCUNNNGAUCGNAAAGCUCUGUCCUUUGGNAAGNAGGGAGCCGUAAGGCUUCUUGACGGUACCCAUGGAGGAAGCCCCGGCUAACUACGUGCCAGCAUCCGCGGUAAUACGUAGGGGGCAAGCGUUGUCCGGAAUUAUUGGGCGUAAAGUGUGCGUAGGCGGCCCUUUAAGUCAGAUGUGAAAGCCCACGGCUUAACCGUGGGACUGCAUUUGAAACUGGAGGGCUUGAGUGUCGGAGAGGGCAGUGGAAUUCCCAGUGUAGCGGUGGAAUGCGUAGAUAUUGGGAGGAACACCAGUGGCGAAGGCGACUGCCUGGACGAUAACUGACGCUGAGGCACGAAAGCUAGGGGAGCAAAC